AUACGAAGGUCCCAAGCGUUAUUCGGAAUCACUGGGCGUAAAGAGUAUGUAGGCGGUUUGGUAAGUCAGGUGUGAAAUCCCGAAGCUCAACUUCGGAACUGCAUCCGAUACUGCUAGACUUGAGUAAUGGAGAGGCAGGUGGAAUUCUCGGUGUAGCAGUGAAAUGCGUGGAUAUCGAGAGGAAGACCAAUGGCGAAGGCAGCCUGCUGGACAUUUACUGACGCUGAGAUACGAAGGCUAGGGUAGCGAAAGGGAUUAGAAACCCGUGUAGUCC
rnacentral:rRNA from 1 species